UGGGAACGUGCCUUUCGGUUCGGGAUAACCCAGGGAAACUUGUGCUAAUACCGGAUAAGCCCUUACGGGGAAAGAUUUAUCGCCGAGAGAUCGGCCCGCGUCUGAUUAGCUAGUUGGUGAGGUAACGGCUCACCAAGGCGACGAUCAGUAGCUGGUCUGAGAGGAUGAUCAGCCACACUGGGACUGAGACACGGCCCAGACUCCUACGGGAGGCAG
rnacentral:rRNA from 1 species